GAUGAAGAACGCAGUGAAAUGCGAUAAGUAGUGUGAAUUGCAGAAUUCAGUGAAUCAUCGAAUCUUUGAACGCACAUUGCGCCCUUUGGUAUUCCUUAGGGCAUGCCUGUUCGAGCGUCAUUUAAACCUUCAAGCUCAGCUUGGUGAUGGGCGACUGUCCCCCCCCCUCGCGGGGGGGACUCGCCUCAAAAACAUUGGCGGCCGGUACAUUGGCUUCGAGCGCAGCAGAAACGCGGUCUCGAGCCCGGUGGAUCGGCUCCCAUAAGCCUAUUCUUUUAUUUUGACCUCGGAUCAGGUAGGGAUACCCGCUGAACUUAAGCAUAUCAAUAAGCGGAGGA
rnacentral:misc_RNA from 1 species